UUAGAUUGGGUUAAACUACGUGAGGUUAGGUUAGGUUGGGUUAGACUACGUGAGGUUAGGUUAGGUUGGGUUAAACUACAUGAGGUUAGGUUAGAUUGGGUUAAACUACGUAAGGUUAGGUUAGAUUGGGUUAAACUACGUGAGGUUAGGUUAGAUUGGGUUAAACUACGUGAGGUUAGGUUAGAUUGGGUUAAACUACGUGAGGUUAGGUUAGAUUAGGUUAAACUACGUGAGGUUAGGUUAGAUUGGGUUAGACUACGUGAGGUUAGGUUAGAUUGGGUUAGACUACGUGAGGUUAGGUUAGAUUGGGUUAGACUACGUGAGGUUAGGUUAGAUUGGGUUAGACUACGUGAGGUUAGGUUAGAUUGGGUUAGACUACGUGAGGUCAGUUAGGUUAGUAUACAAAAGGUUAGGUUAGGUAGGAUUGAGAUGAGUUACGUUAUAAUAGAACCCCUACCACUCUUUUGUUAUCAUCUAAUUAUUACUAUCCUUAUUAUUUUUAUGAUCACUAUUAUUUCUUACGAACAAAACAAAUUAAGGGUAACAAAGCCAUGCCAUCCCUGUGUGUGUGUGUGUGUGUGUGUGUGUGUGUGUGUGUGUGUGUGUUAUCAAGCCACUCCCUGAUAAAGAAGAGGUGUGGCCGAGUAAAUUUCCGGUGACUGGCAACGAUUUUUUCUCCUCCUCCUCCUUCCUUUUCCUCCUCCUCCUCCUCCCCCUCCUCCUGCCCCUCCUCCUCUUUCUCCUCUUCCUCCUACUGUUCCCUUUCUUUUUCCUCUUCUCUUCUCAUCUUUCACUCCCUUCUCGUAUUACUAACUAUCUCCUCCCCACUUCUCUCUUCUUCUCCUUUCCAUUCAUAAGAACAUAAGAACGUAAGGAGUCCUAUGUAUUCCUAUGUAAUUCUUCUUGAAAUGGAUGACAUAAGCUCCUAACCCACGCACGCUUGGGAGGAAACUUUAUCACACAGGAAACAAGAGAACGAGAAUGAAGGAGAGGAGGGGCGAGGCGAAAGGAAUGGGGAGGAUUAUGAGGGGAGAGGAGAGGAGAGAACAGGAGAGGGCAGGAAACGAACCUACACCAUACAACUGUACACUCCUAUCGUCUUUCCUUCUCCCCCACCUGUACCUUUUUUUUUUACAACAAAGGAUACAGCUCAAGGGCACAAAAAAGUAAACAAUAAUAAAAAAAAUAGCCCGCUACUCGCUGCUCCCAUAAAGAAUCCAAAGAGGUGGCCGAAAGAGGUCAAGUUCGGGAGGAGAGGUGUCACCGCUAACCCACUACCUCUUCUCAUUAUACCCUUGAUUAUAAAACAGGGCAGGAGAGGAGAGGAGAGGGAAAGGAAGGAGAGAAGAUGAGGAAGACAGGAGAGGGAUGUGGAGGAGAGGGGAAGAAAGGAGAGAAGGAAGAAAAGAA